CUGCUGCCUUCCGUAGGAGUUUGGGCCGUGUCUCAGUCCCAAUGUGGCCGUUCACCCUCUCAGGCCGGCUACUGAUCGUUGCCUUGGUAGGCUUUUACCCCACCAACUAGCUAAUCAGACGCGGAACCAUCGUAUACCACCUCAGUUUUUCACACUGCUUCAUGCGAAGCUGUGCGCUUAUGCGGUAUUAGCACCUAUUUCUAAGUGUUAUCCCCCAGUAUACGGCAGGUUUUCCACGCGUUACUCACCCGUCCGCCAA
rnacentral:rRNA from 1 species